rnacentral:rRNA from 1 species
CAGCAGCCACGGUAAUACGUAGGGCGCAAGCGUUAUCCGGAAUUAUUGGGCGUAAAGAGCUCGUAGGCGGUUUGUCGCGUCUGCCAUGAAAGUCCGGGGCUCAACCCCGGAUCUGCGGUGGGUACGGGCAGACUAGAGUGAUGUAGGGGAGACUGGAAUUCCUGGUGUAGCGGUGAAAUGCGCAGAUAUCAGGAGGAACACCGAUGGCGAAGGCAGGUCUCUGGGCAUUAACUGACGCUGAGGAGCGAAAGCAUGGGGAGCGAACAGGAUUAGAUACCCCAGUAGUCCCUGUCUCUUAUAU